rnacentral:pre_miRNA from 1 species
UUUAGGUACAACCAUGGUUUUUCGCGUCCAACUUUGACAGUCCGUUUUAUUUGAAUUUUUUUUAAAAAAAUUUAGGAACAUAAGUCACAAGUAAAGUACUAUUCAUAUUUUAUUAUAUCAUAACAAUACAAAUAUUAAUUAUAAAAAGUCUUUAAAUAAGACACUUAAAAUAGGACGGGAGAGAGAGGG